ACCCCGGCAACCGCCGCGGCUUCCCGUGCCCACCCGCUCACCUAGCUCUCCCCCGGCUACGGCGAGCGGCGAGCGGCAGAAAGAGCCGGCGUAGGCGGGGGGCGAAGCGCCCCCUGCCCUUCCCUGCAGAGCCGGGGGCAGGUGAGGGAGAGCCCCGGCCGGGAACCGCUUCCCCCGCUUCCCGGGCUGCACCGCCCGGCCCGGCCCGGCCCGGCCUCCCACCGCCUCCCUUCUGCUCGGAGCGAACCCCGUUGUCAACAGGAACAGCACCCUCCCUCCCGGUUCCAGGAGGCAAGGGUUCGAUCAUCAUUCAGAAUCUGAAGUGGAGGAAUCUGAGGACCACACACCCAUAGUUGAAUCCCCACCAUCACUGGAUGACUUACCUGGCCUGGAAACACCAGCAUCUGCAGCCCAGCCAUCUGUAGUGGAAUUGCCACUAUCUGCAGACCAGCUGGCUGUCAAGAAGCCACCCCAUUCCGAGCACCAUUUCCAGCUCACUGUAUAGUCUGCAUCCAGGGAAAGCUCACCUGAGAUCAGAUCACCUCUGGGUGAACUUCCAGGUUUCAAAGUCAAGAUGCACACCUCUGAAUCCACACAGGAUGGCAGUAACACCGUUGAGGCUGUGUUGUCAGCAGCAGAGAUUGCAUUUGAAUCAUUGGAGAAUCCAGAGGAUUUUGGAGACCCCUAUCAAGUUGCCAUGAAUUAUGUGGAGGAACAUAAAAUUCUACAGCUAUUUCAGGAUAUCACAGAAAAACUGCUGAUCCAUAAGCCUGAUGACCCCUUGCAGUUCAUAUUGCUGGAGGUGCAGUCUAUGAUAAAUGCCAGGCAAGCAGAACCGGAGAAACUAUCGGAAUAGAAGGAAGAUGUGUAGGUGUUUCUAGAAGAAGGCUUGUGCACUCCUUUUGGCCCCCAUUUACCCUGCUGUUGUGGUAUUGCCACACCAUGCCUUCCCAGCACCGUGUAGUCAUUAGCAAUAACUUGGAAAAGAUCUGCUUGUCUGUCUCUUGCCUGGUUUCUCUGUUCUGUAUGCUUGUGCUUCCCCUUGGAUUUAAAUCCUGCAACCAAGUUUUGGUUUGGAAUCACACACUGAGAUCUAAGUGUGCAUGGAUUUGCAUGCACAUAUGGCACAUCUUGAAGAGGCAGGUCUGCUGAUCUUCUAGGCAUAUAAAUGCAUAAAUCUCACAUUUAGGCCAAUCCACACUCUGCCUCUCUGUGCAGAGAAACCUCACAGCUCAGACAAUGCAAGGACAAAAGCAAGUAGGGUUAAAAAGCAGCCCUGGACAACCCACAGCCUUCUUUUCUCAUGCUGCAAUGGUGGCUUACUGUGUCCAGUUAUGCAGCAGCACCAAUGCCUAUCUCAUACUUUGAUAGUUUGUGUCUGGGCUUCCCCACUGCCCCCAGAGCUCCUCUAAUGCAAGAAGCUGUCUCUCUGCCUCUUCCACACACUGGGUACAGCUGUCUCACCCUUAAUCAGCCCUGCUGGACACUGAUCACUCUGCUUUUUGGGGUGGCCCUGCCCGUAUCAUUGUAAGUAGGGUGUUUAACCAGAACAGUAAAGCAACAGUUGCACACACCCUUUAUGCUUUCAGGAGACAUUGUCACUCAGGAAUGUGGGAGGUGAAUAAAAGCAAACAAACCAAAACCAAGCACUGGUAGCCCAGAGAAUUAGGAGUCAAGAUACAUUUCGCAAGCACAUCAUUUGAACUGUGUUUGAUUUUUGAAACAAUUACAAUUCUCAUUUUCAUACUAUCCAAGUGUUUGCUUCUACCCUGUAAAAAACCUUUUUUUUUUUCUGUUUCUUGUCUCUUGCCUGACAAUUAUUGAAAAUGUGCAACAGAGCAUACUGUUAUUUUGGCUUAAUAGAUUGUCUUAUAUGCAAUAGAUGCCAGAAAGGGUUUUUAUGUCACUACAGGCUUUUCUCUUUUUUAGGCAAGUGCUCUAAUUUCCUGAUGAAUGGUGGUGUAUUCCCAAAUGACUGUUUCUAUGGCUAUGUAGACAGCACCAUAAAAACUUCCAUCUAUCUCUUUUUUAAAAAAUAAUGUACAAUGAUUGGGUUGUGUGAUUCUACACAACACAGCUUGGGCACCAAAAGUCUGGGAAUAACAGAGGGCAAGUAUUUGGCAUACAAAUUCCAUGUGUGAGAUGAGUUUCCUUCCUAUCUGAGUUUCUCAAAAAGGAUCAGUUAACUCAUGUGUUUCAAAAUUGAAAACAGGUAAGCACCCCUGUCAUUCAUAGGGAAAGGAGGUUUUCAAGGUUAUUUUGAGCCUGAAGAUGGCUUACGAUUCAGAUUAAAUUUUCAUUGGUUUUAUAAGAGUUUUACUGUAUACUUAAGCACCUAGGUGCCCCUGCAGCAGUGAGAUGCUUUUGAAAUCCCUACUCAACUCAAGCAACUGGAAAAAUCUGACACUGAGAAUCUGAGAUUGAUCUGCUUACAAAUUCUUGACCAAAAAUGUAUCAGGCUGAAAAACAAUGCAUACAUGCCCUGUCCUAAUGUAUCUCUGUGGAACAGGAAAUGUAUGGAAGAUGGAGAUAGUGUUUGAAGCUUUCUUGUCUCUAUGGUCAUUUGUCAGCACAUUGUCCCAGGAGAUGGAGAAGCUGACAUGUCUUUGAAUUUUGUUGUAGAGCAGGAUUAGGAUGCCUUGGGGUACAGCCUUCACUGUGUAUAUCCUGCCUCUGUCAUUUGGGUAUUGCUGUUUGUUGUUGUCUUUUGCUUACAAAAAGCUUUUGACCUGUAAUACGUUCUCAGACUGUAAGUAUAUGCCUUCAACUUCAUGUCAGCAUUAAGGGAGUUAUGCAAGGGAAGAUCCUUAAUUCCUCUCUCAGGUAGUUUGAAAUGAGCUGCAAAGCAGUCUUCUUACAGGUGACAGAAGUUUUGCAAGAGAGGCCCUACCCAGCGUUCCUCCGUAAUCUCAGGGCCACAGUUUUCCUUUGGUGGCCUGGCCACCUCAUGUCGUGCUAACAAAGUUGCUGUGUGGCAGCAAGAAUUCCUCCCCAGUACACAUAAGAGAGAGCAUCUGUCUUGUCUAUCUCUCAGAAAAGAGAAACAUUGUUUUCUGUUCUUUUCGUGCUAUUGAGGAGAGGUCCUUCUCCAUUGAGGAGCAGUUUUCUAGAGAUGAAUGAGACUGUACCCAGGAUAAGGUCUGUGGGCCUGGAGAUGGCAUGUGUAGGGAUUGGGGAAGGCAGUGGGCCAAGGAAAAUCCUUCAGCAUUCGGAGUUGGGGGUGGGGGGGAUAUGAUCUCUGAGCAAGGACUUAGAUCAGAAAUGUCACUUCCUUUACCUCAAACCUCUCAGAUGAUCAAACUUAAUUUUAUAAAAACAAAAAAGCAUCCUCCAGAAACAUUUUUGAACUGUCAUUAAAUUUCUUGCCUUGAGUGCUCAGAAGGAAUUAGCAGUUCCUCGUGUGUAACCGAAACUCUUCCAUAUAAGUCCUUACAGCACACUAGUCACAGCACAUUUGAAUGCCCUCCAGAGUGCUAAGCAACGUGACUAACAUCUGGUGUUUGCUCUUUCUCCUCUCCACAAGGGAAAUGGCUGUGCACUGAAGUGCAUUCUUGUAGAAAGGGUGGUUUGGGCUGUUUACCACACCUGUGUAUCUCUAUGUACUUCCAGUGGAUAAGUCAUGAAGUGGAAGGUGUGGAAGUUGGAGGUAGUUUGUAGUUCCCAUGGAUGAUUCCUCUGCAGUAUGAGCUGGAUACUGAGAAAACGCAUUCUUUUCAAGGGAGAGAUUUUUUUGUUCAUCCAUGGACAGACACAGAGGUGUCACCCAUCUAAUCUGCCAAAUGGCAUGGUCUUAUGGUGCCCAGACUGUUUCUGUUGUGAACCUUGUGCUCCUCCAGAGGCAGGACACAGAGGAGCCAAUCAGGAGGAAAGUGCAGUCCCUAUAAAAUAGGUCUCUUGGACCAAAACAUCAGUUUCUUUUUUCUGCCAUCUCUGUAUGGAACUUGAAAACACUCAGCUGCCCCAAGCAAUACUGGAGUUGCCUGUGUACUGCUUCUAACCAAUGGGGGGAAAAAAGUUGUAAUAGCUAAUUAAAAAUCCUCUGAAAAGUU